rnacentral:rRNA from 1 species
CCUACGGGUGGCCGCAGUGAGGAAUAUUGGUCAAUGGCCGGAAGGCUGAACCAGCCAAGCCGCGUGAAGGACGAAGGUGCCAAGCAUUGUACACUUCUUUUGUCAAGGGACAAAAUCAGGCUCGAGAGCCUGACCGAGGGUACUUGAAGAAAAAGAAUCGGCCAACUCCGUGCAAGCAGCCGCGGUAAUACGGGGGAUGCGAGCGUUAUCCGGAUUUAUUGGGUUAAAGGGGGGCGUAGGCGGGCUGUUAAGUCAGCGGGAAAAGCCCGGGGCUCAACCCCGGCGAGCCGUUGAAACUGGCUGGCUUGAGAUGUCGAGAGGUAUGCGGAAUGCGCAGUGUAGCGGUGAAAUGCUUAGAUAUUGCGCAGAACUCCGAUUGCGAAGGCAGCAUACCGGCGGCGAUCUGACGCUGAGGCACGAAAGCGUGGGUAUCGAACAGGAUUAGAUACCCUUGUAGUC